rfam:uncultured archaeon A07HR60 genomic scaffold scf7180000001703, whole genome shotgun sequence.
UACGCAUGAGGAUAGAGGAAGUCGUGUAGAAGCGACUGGUCGAGAAAUUCGCC